GAUGAACGCUGGCGGCGUGCCUAAUACAUGCAAGUCGAGCGAAUGGAUUAAGAGCUUGCUCUUAUGAAGUUAGCGGCGGACGGGUGAGUAACACGUGGGUAACCUGCCCAUAAGACUGGGAUAACUCCGGGAAACCGGGGCUAAUACCGGAUAACAUUUUGAACCGCAUGGUUCGAAAUUGAAAGGCGGCUUCGGCUGUCACUUAUGGAUGGACCCGCGUCGCCUUAGCUAGUUGGUGAGGUAACGGCACACCAAGGCAACGAUGCGUAGCCACCCUGAGGGGGGGAUCGGCCACACUGGGACUGAGACACGGCCCAGACUCCUACGGGAUGCAGCAGUAGGGAAUCUUCCGCAAUGGACGAAAGUCUGACGGAGCAACGCCGCGUGAGUGAUGAAGGCUUUCGGGUCGUAAAACUCUGUUGUUAGGGAAGAACAAGUGCUAGUUGAAUAAGCUGGCACCUUGACAGUACCUAACCAGAAAGCCACGGCUAACUACGUGCCAGCCGCCGCAGUAA
rnacentral:rRNA from 1 species